rnacentral:tRNA from 1 species
GGGCCGUUAGCUCAGACGGUAGAGCACCUGACUCUUAAUCAGGGGGUCACAGGUUCGAUUCCUGUACGGCCCACCA